GGCCGUCCGAUGAAGUCCAGAAUUCUGCCUUCACACGGCAGGGGUCACUAGUUCGAAUCUAGUACCGCCCACCA
rnacentral:tRNA from 1 species